rnacentral:rRNA from 1 species
UACAGAGGUCUCAAGCGUUGUUCGGAUUCAUUGGGCGUAAAGGGUGCGUAGGCGGCGCGGUAAGUCGGGUGUGAAAUCUCGGAGCUUAACUCCGAAACUGCAUUCGAUACUGCCGUGCUUGAGGACUGGAGAGGAGAGUGGAAUUCCCGGUGUAGCGGUGAAAUGCGCAGAUAUCAGGAGGAACACCGGUGGCGAAGGCGGGUCUCUGGGCCGAUACUGACGCUGAGGAGCGAAAGCGUGGGGAGCGAACAGG